rnacentral:rRNA from 1 species
UACAGAGGUCUCAAGCGUUGUUCGGAAUCACUGGGCGUAAAGGGUGCGUAGGCUGCAUGGUAAGUCAGGUGUGAAAGCCCGGAGCUCAACUCCGGAACUGCACCCGAUACUGCCGUGCUUGAGGACUGGAGAGGAGUCUGGAAUUCACAGUGGAGCAGUGAAAUGCGUAGAUAUUGUGAGGAACACUAGUGGCGAAGGCGAGACUCUGGACAUUUCCUGACGCUGAGGCACGAAAGCCAGGGGAGCAAACGGG